GAUGAACGCUGGCGGCGUGCCUAAUACAUGCAAGUCGAGCGAACGGACGAGAAGCUUGCUUCUCUGAUGUUAGCGGCGGACGGGUGAGUAACACGUGGAUAACCUACCUAUAAGACUGGGAUAACUUCGGGAAACCGGAGCUCAUACCGGAUAAUAUUUUGAACCGCAUGGUUCAAAAGUGAAAGACGGUCUUGCUGUCACUUAUAGAUGGAUCCGCGCUGCAUUAGCUAGUUGGUAAGGUAACGGCUUACCAAGGCAACGAUGCAUAGCCGACCUGAGAGGGUGAUCAGCCACACUGGAACUGAGACACGGUCCAGACUCCUACGGGAGGCAGCAGUAGGGAAUCUUCCGCAAUGGGCGAAAGCCUGACGGAGCAACGCCGCGUGAGUGAUGAAGGUCUUCGGAUCGUAAAACUCUGUUAUUAGGGAAGAACAUAUGUGUAAGUAACUGUGCACAUCUUGACGGUACCUAAUCAGAAAGCCACGGCUAACUACGUG
rnacentral:rRNA from 1 species